CCUACGGGAGGCAGCAGUGGGGAAUAUUGGACAAUGGGCGAAAGCCUGAUCCAGCCAUGCCGCGUGUGUGAAGAAGGCCUUCGGGUUGUAAAGCACUUUCAGUGGGGAAGAAAGCCUUGGGGCUAAUACCCUCGAGGAAGGACAUCACCCACAGAAGAAGCACCGGCUAACUCCGUACCAGCAGCCGCGGUAAUACGGAGGGUGCGAGCGUUAAUCGGAAUUACUGGGCGUAAAGCGCGCGUAGGCGGUCUGAUAAGCCGGUUGUGAAAGCCCCGGGCUCAACCUGGGAACGGCAUCCGGAACUGUCAGGCUAGAGUGCAGGAGAGGAAGGUAGAAGUCCCGGUGUAGCGGUGAAAUGCGUAGAGAUCGGGAGGAAUACCAGUGGCGAAGGCGGCCUUCUGGACUGACACUGACGCUGAGGUGCGAAAGCGUGGGUAGCAAACAGGAUUAGAUACCCUAGUAGUC
rnacentral:rRNA from 1 species